UGGGCUCAAGCGAGACGGGUAGCCGGCCUGAGAGGGCGACCGGCCACACUGGGACUGAGACACGGCCCAGACUCCUACGGGAGGCAGCAGUGGGGAAUAUUGCACAAUGGGCGGAAGCCUGAUGCAGCGACGCCGCGUGAGGGAUGACGGCCUUCGGGUUGUAAACCUCUUUCAGCAGGGACGAAGCGAGAGUGACGGUACCUGCAGAAGAAGCACCGGCCAACUACGUGCCAGCAGCCGCGGUAAGACGUAGGGUGCGAGCGUUGUCCGGAUUUAUUGGGCGUAAAGAGCUCGUAGGCGGCUUGUCGCGUCGACCGUGAAAACUUGGGGCUCAACCCCAAGCCUGCGGUCGAUACGGGCAGGCUAGAGUUCGGUAGGGGAGACUGGAAUUCCUGGUGUAGCGGUGAAAUGCGCAGAUAUCAGGAGGAACACCGGUGGCGAAGGCGGGUCUCUGGGCCGAUACUGACGCUGAGGAGCGAAAGCGUGGGGAGCGAACAGGAUUAGAUACCCUGGUAGUCCACGCUGUAAACGUUGGGCGCUAGGUGUGGGGGACCUCUCCGGUUUCCUGUGCCGCAGCUAACGCAUUAAGCGCCCCGCCUGGGGAGUACGG
rnacentral:rRNA from 1 species